rfam:Ruminococcus flavefaciens 007c Rf007c_contig00687, whole genome shotgun sequence.
AAUGACAAAGAUAAAAACGCAACGUAUACCUUCGGGUAUGCUAGAGCCGGUAGGUAGCCCGGCCGUCCUGUGAAUACAGGGUAAGUAACCUGCCCCUCCGGGUUGUCCGUUCUUUGUCCAUAGCAA